UUAUCCGGAUUUAUUGGGUUUAAAGGGUGCGUAGGCGGCAAGGUAAGUCAGCGGUGAAAGAUCAGGGCUCAACUCUGGAAGUGCCGUUGAUACUGUCUGGCUAGAAUGAUUCCGCCGUGGGAGGAAUGAGUAGUGUAGCGGUGAAAUGCAUAGAUAUUACUCAGAACACCGAUUGCGAAGGCAUCUCACGAGGGGUUCAUUGACGCUGAGGCACGAAAGCGUGGGGAUCGAACAGGAUUAGAUACCCUGGUAGUCCACGCAGUAAACGAUGAUGGCUAACUGUCGGGCCUUCGGGUUCGGCGGCCAAGCGAAAGCGAUAAGCCAUCCACCUGGGGAGUACGACCGCAAGGUUGAAACUCAAAGGAAUUGACGGGGGCCCGCACAAGCGGAGGAACAUGUGGUUUAAUUCGAUGAUACGCGAGGAA
rnacentral:rRNA from 1 species